rnacentral:rRNA from 1 species
AGCGAACGCUGGCGGCAGGCCUAACACAUGCAAGUCGAACGGACCCUUCGGGGUUAGUGGCGGACGGGUGAGUAACACGUGGGAACGUGCCUUUAGGUUCGGAAUAGCUCCUGGAAACGGGUGGUAAUGCCGAAUGUGCCCUUCGGGGGAAAGAUUUAUCGCCUUUAGAGCGGCCCGCGUCUGAUUAGCUAGUUGGUGAGGUAAUGGCUCACCAAGGCGACGAUCAGUAGCUGGUCUGAGAGGAUGGCCAGCCACAUUGGGACGGAGACACGGCCCAAACUCCUACGGGAGGCAGCUGUGGGGAAUCUUGCGCAAUGGGCGAAAGCGUGACGCAGCCAUGCCGCGUGGAUGAUGAAGGUCUUAGGAUUGUAAAAUCCUUUCACCGGUGAAGAUAAUGACUGUAACCGGAGAAGAAGCCCCGGCUAACUUCGUGCCAGCCGCCGCCGUAACAC